GGUCCCGUAGUGUAGUGGUUAUCACGUCUGCUUCACAUGCAGAAGGUCCCCGGUUCGAUCCCGGGCGGAACAA
rnacentral:tRNA from 1 species